AACUGAAGAGUUUGAUCAUGGCUCAGAUUGAACGCUGGCGGCAGGCUUAACACAUGCAAGUCGAGCGGGGGAAGGUAGCUUGCUACUGGACCUAGCGGCGGACGGGUGAGUAAUGC
rnacentral:rRNA from 1 species